GAGAUUGGGAGUUACAGGCAAGCCUGGCCAAUAUGGUGACACCCUGUCUCUACUAAAAAUAUAAAAACCAGGUAUGGUGGCAUACGCUGGUAAUCCCAGGUACUCAGGAGGGCGAGGCAUAAGAAUAGCUUCAACCCAGGACGUGGAAAUUGCAGUGAGCUGAGAUUAUGCCACUGCCCUCCAGCCUGAGGGUGACAGAGCAAUACCCUGUCUCGAAAAAAGAAGAAGAAACUAAUACUCCAUUACUCUUGUGGAACUGUGAUCAAUAUUGAAUUGUUGUCUUUAUGUAAAUUACUCAAAUUUUGUGUAAAUUACUUAAAUUUUGUAAUUUUGUUAAUUAUUUAAACACAUUUCUCCUCUGUUUACAAACAAAAUAUCUUUCUCAUUUAUAUCUGGAAACUGUUGUAUCAAUUUUAAAAAAAUGCAUGUGUAAUGCUUCAGUAAGUUUACCAUGCUAUACAAAAAGAAAGAAUUCCUUCAAACGAUAAUGACUGAAUUACUUUUCAGGGUUAACCUGCUGGUUUCUUUAGUUAGUAGGUAGUUAAUAACAUUUGUGAGUAUAAUUACUUUUUAUUUAUUUAGUGCAUACAUUUACUACAAUUACUAUGUGUGGGCAUUUUAUAAAUAGCAACUCAUGUAAUUUAUUGGGAAGAUUGUCCUUUUAGACAUCCAUUGCUUUAUAAUAUUCUCUGUUGGUAAGAAAUUGUAUCACGUCUUUGAAACUGACAAAUGCUAUGCUGUGUGAUUGGUAGAACUUUAUUAAGAAUGUAUUCAAUAUAAUCUUUGUUAUAAUUAUUAGUCCCUUUCCAAUGACAUUAGUCUGAAUUUUUUCUUAUUUUCCAAUGAAAGUCAGUUCCAGAUGAGUAACGUUUAAUGACCAGGUCAGAGGAAGGAAUGAAGAGCAUGAUUUGUAGCAUUUGCCAAUUUCUAUGGCAUAAGUAGCUACCAAUUUCUAUGGCGUUUGAUGCUACUGACAUGAUGUCACAAUGUGGAGUUGGAAACAGAUCCUAACAAUCAGCUCCCAUGAGUCGUUUUUUUAUUUCUUAAUUUAAAGAUGCUGUAGAUUUGUUUAGUGAUAAUUACUUGGAUACCAAGACAAACUCAGAAAAAAAGUAAACGUCUAUAAAGUGUAGGAUAUUGAUGGCCUAACUUUCCUGUCUUGGUAUAGUUGAUAAGAUUUAAAAUCUUAUAUAAAUACAAACCAAUAGGAAGACUUUAUAAGAGUUAUACUUGCAUGAGCCAUCUUUGCUAGAAAUUACAUGCAGUCACAAGUGAAUGAAACCUUGUAUUCAGGCUAGCUCUGCUAAAGUAAGGAGGAUAAGCAGUGGCCUUAUCAGUAUGAUAAUGAAGACUGAUAAAAAGAGGCCCCUACUAAUAUUAACCGCCACAGCCUGUAAUUACUGUGAUAAGAAAGUCAGUUAAAUAAAUGGUUGUACAUGGUAAAUGUUAAAGAGGACAAGACUACAGUUUAACAGAAACCAAUUCCACGGCUGCUUCCUAUCUGCAUCACUUAAAAUCUUAUUUGGCCCCACUUGUUUCAUCUUUAUAUUGGAAAUAUUAAUUGUUGAAAGUAUAAGUGUCACAAUGCUUUAAAAGUCAAAGGCAUUAUACAGAUAUCAUAUAUGGAUAAUACUGUGUGUCUUAUGUAGGGGGUUAGACUCCAAAGUCAGAACAUGAGAAGGUAGAAAUCAUAGAUAACGUCAACCCAUGCUUCUCAUCCUUUAGAUAUACCAAUGGCCCCCAAAAAUAAUAAAUACUGGUGGAUCAAACUGGGCCCCCACCUAAGUAAUUCUUACUGAACAAUGCCUUGCAAGUAUUGUCCGCUUGGAUUCUCUUUGUUCCUUGAGAUAUAGAAAAGUAACACCUGCACUCAUUCAAGUCCACAGACUUAUUCAAAAUCUUAAAAAAAUUCCUGCAGCACUGUUACUCCUUU